GAUGAACGCUGGCGGCGUGCCUAAUACAUGCAAGUCGAGCGAACCACUUCGGUGGUGAGCGGCGAACGGGUGAGUAACACGUAGGUGAUCUGCCCAUCAGACGGGGACAACGAUUGGAAACGAUCGCUAAUACCGGAUAGGACGAAAGUUUAAAGGUGCUUCUGGCACCGCUGAUGGAUGAGCCUGCGGCGCAUUAGCUAGUUGGUAGGGUAAAGGCCUAUCAAGGCGACGAUGCGUAGCCGACCUGAGAGGGUGAACGACCACACUGGGACUGAGACACAGCCCAGACUCCUGCGGGGGUCAGCAGUAGGGAAUCUUCGGCAAUGGGCGAAAGCCUGACCGAGCAACGCCGCGUGAAUGAUGAAGGCCUUCGGGUUGUAAAAUUCUGUUAUAAGGGAAGAACGACUUUAGUAGGAAAUGGCUAGAGUGUGACGGUACCUUAUGAGAAAGCCACGGCUAACUACGUGCCAGCAGCCGCAGUAA
rnacentral:rRNA from 1 species